AUGAGACAAACCAGGGCCCUCCUGACAAACAGUGCGGUAAAGGAGAUAAGGUUUAGAAUGAAACCAUGCAUAACAGUGCGGUAAAGGAGAUAAGGUUUAGAAUGAAACCACACAUGCAGUGCGGUAAAGGAGAUAAGGUUUAGAAUGAAACCAUGCAGAAUUGUCGCUUCGCAGCUCAACCUGUCCACCUGACCACAUGGCAUGGGGUUUGUAUGCCUAAGCAUGUCUGUAUCU